UCAACCUAUCCACUAGCUUCAGUGGCAUUGUGCUGCUGGAAUGAAGGCUCAGUGUUCGGGUCGGCGGCAAAGCUAAGCCAAUGACUACUCGGCAGCACUGUGCUGGAGUUUCAGCAGUGGCGGUUCAAACCCGCAAUAGUCCGUAAAGGUGGGAUGCUUCUGCCAUGCAGGCUCAGAGUAGUUGUCCCGCUCUGAGUCUGGCUAAUUUACGGGCGAAAAACGGCUCCGUUGGCCUCUAAGUUUCCCUGAGCAGUUGUUGCUUGUACUGUCCGUGGCUGUGACGACGGGGAACGAUACGUGGUUUUCUUAAUCUCGAGAGUUAAUGAGCACUGGCUUUGGUGCCGCCAACAAAAAAACCUAUUUUACAAAUUUUUCAAGAGAAUAUUUUUAUUCUUAUCGGUGGAUCACUCGGCUCGUAGAUCGAUGAAGAACGCAGCCACCUGCGAUAAUUAUUGCGAACUGCAGAUAUUUUGAGCACUAAAGUUUUGAAURCACAUUGCGGCAUUGGAUUUUAUCCUUUGCCACGUCUGGCUCAGGGUCGUAAAUACUAAACACCAAACAAAAGGUGGUGAAACAAUCUGUGCGGACCGUUGUCGUUUGGUGUAACACUUGCUUCUUUGUGUUGCCUUUCGACCAAUAUUGACAACGCUCCCACCACAGCAAUUGUUGCUCACUGCGCGCGGUUACAUUUCCUUCGACAGUCCUAGCGAUUCCUAUGGACUAGGAGGUUUUGGAGCUGGCCAGUUUGCAGUCGUCGAUUUUUCGACCUGAACUCAGACGUGAUCACCCGC
rnacentral:rRNA from 1 species